GAUGAACGCUGGCGGCGUGCCUAAUACAUGCAAGUCGAGCGAACAGACGAGGAGCUUGCUCCUCUGACGUUAGCGGCGGACGGGUGAGUAACACGUGGAUAACCUACCUAUAAGACUGGGAUAACUUCGGGAAACCGGAGCUAAUACCGGAUAAUAUAUUGAACCGCAUGGUUCAAUAGUGAAAGACGGUUUUGCUGUCACUUAUAGAUGGAUCCGCGCCGCAUUAGCUAGUUGGUAAGGUAACGGCUUACCAAGGCAACGAUGCGUAGCCGACCUGAGAGGGUGGUCGGCCACACUGGAACUGAGACACGGUCCAGACUCCUACGGGAGGCAGCAGUAGGGAAUCUUCCGCAAUGGGCGGAAGCUUGACGGAGCAACGCCGCGCGAGUGAUGAAGGUCUUCGGAUCGUAAAACUCUGUUAUUAGGGAAGAACAAAUGUGUAAGUAACUAUGCACGUCUUGACGGUACCUAAUCAGAAAGCCACGGCUAACUACGUG
rnacentral:rRNA from 1 species